UGGGGAACUUUGGACAAUGGGCGAAAGCCUGAUCCAGCAAUGCCGCGUGUGUGAAGAAGGCCUUCGGGUUGUAAAGCACUUUUGUCCGGAAAGAAAUCCUUGGCUCUAAUACAGUCGGGGGAUGACGGUACCGGAAGAAUAAGCACCGGCUAACUACGUGCCAGCAGCCGCGGUAAUACGUAGGGUGCAAGCGUUAAUCGGAAUUACUGGGCGUAAAGCGUGCGCAGGCGGUUUGCUAAGACCGAUGUGAAAUCCCCGGGCUCAACCUGGGAACUGCAUUGGUGACUGGCAGGCUAGAGUAUGGCAGAGGGGGGUAGAAUUCCACGUGUAGCAGUGAAAUGCGUAGAGAUGUGAGGAAUACCGAUGGCGAAGGCAGCCCCCUGGGCCAAUACUGACGCUCAUGCACGAAAGCGUGGGGAGCAAACAGGAUUAGAUACCCUGGUAGUCCACGCCCUAAACGAUGUCAACUAGUUGUUGGGGAUUCAUUUCCUUAGUAACGUAGCUAACGCGUGAAGUUGACCGCCUGGGGAGUACGGUCGCAAGAUUAAAACUUAAAGGAAUUGACGGGGUCAUA
rnacentral:rRNA from 1 species